rnacentral:rRNA from 1 species
UAUGAAGGGGGCUAGCGUUGUUCGGAAUCACUGGGCGUAAAGAGCGCGCAGGCGGUCGUUCAAGUCGCGUGUGAAAGCCCCCGGCUCAACUGGGGAGGGUCACGCGAUACUGAUCGACUCGAAGGCAGGAGAGGGAAGUGGAAUUCCCGGUGUAGUGGUGAAAUGCGUAGAUAUCGGGAGGAACACCAGUGGCGAAGGCGACUUCCUGGCCUGUUCUUGACGCUGAGGCGCGAAAGCUAGGGGAGCAAACAGG